rnacentral:rRNA from 1 species
UACGUAGGGUGCAAGCGUUAAUCGGAAUUACUGGGCGUAAAGCGUGCGCAGGCGGUUUUGUAAGUCUGUCGUGAAAUCCCCGGGCUCAACCUGGGAAUUGCGAUGGAGACUGCAAGGCUAGAAUCUGGCAGAGGGGGGUAGAAUUCCACGUGUAGCAGUGAAAUGCGUAGAGAUGUGGAGGAACACCGAUGGCGAAGGCAGCCCCCCGGGCUGAGAUUGACGCUCAGGCACGAAAGCGUGGGGAGCAAACAGG